CCUCGGCCCCGUCUCCCCCGCCUCUCGCAUUUCAAAGCACGGAAGUUCACACAUCUAUCUCCCCUUCCAGCGCGGGGCGGCACCGAGGAAGACGAGGGAGGAAGGGAGGCCGCUAGGGUGGAUUUGGAGCGAGAGCUGGGAGGCCCGGAGGGAUUCGUGUGGACGGCCGUUCUUCCCGGGCACCAGGCGCAGUCGCUUUAACUCCAGGCUGAGCAGAAAGGGACCCUCUGCUCACAUCCCGCCCGCCCGCCCGGGAGAGCCGCCGCCGCCGCCGCCCGGCUCAGAGGGAGCCCCCGGACCUGCCCCUUCCACUGCGGCUCGCUCUGCCCUGCCUGGCGCCAGUCCUGGAUCGCCGGCUUCCUAUUUAUACGGGACCGGGCUCCUCUCCACUCACUUUACCAUCCCGUUCCAGGCUGGCGACUUCGCUGCUGAGCUGAAACUGCUAAUUUCUGUGACCAGCUUUUUUCUUAGCUGUGAUCUGGAUGAAUGAGUAGCUGUCUCACAGAGAUGACAAAAAUAAACUCUAAUCCCCCCC